ensembl:lncRNA
ACAUUCCUUCCCCCAAGACAGGAGCAGAGCACGACUUUCACAGAGCAGCAACACAGAUGGAUUGGGCAGCACAGUGACGGCAGCAGCAGCAGCAGUGAGACCCUGGAGCUGGAGGCUAGUAACGAAACUCUGAUUGACCAUCCCUCAGCUUUGAAGAGUGUCUUUUCCCAUCUCAGCCAUACAAAUUGUCUACCUCAACUUAUCUUCACCUUCUUCCAACAUAUAGCUCCUCUGACCGCUGUGUUUGCUAGGAAUCUGCCAACUGAUCACGUUCAGAGACAUCUGGGAAGGACAUUAGAAAGAUCUGGAGCCCCAAAGGUUGGAUUAAGAUCUUCACUUCUUCAACAGCUGAGACAAGCACAGUCGAGCAAUUGUGUAGAUGAGUCCUAA